rnacentral:rRNA from 1 species
ACGAACGCUGGCGGCAGGCCUAACACAUGCACGUCGAGCGCGCCCUUCGGGGUGAGCGGCGGACGGGUGAGUAACGCGUGGGAACGUGCCCUUCUCUGCGGAAUAGCCUCGGGAAACUGAGAGUAAUACCGCAUACGCCCUUUGGGGGAAAGAUUUAUCGGAGAAGGAUCGGCCCGCGUUGGAUUAGGUAGUUGGUGGGGUAAUGGCCCACCAAGCCGACGAUCCAUAGCUGGUUUGAGAGGAUGAUCAGCCACACUGGGACUGAGACACGGCCCAGACUCCUACGGGAGGCAGCAGUGGGGAAUCUUAGACAAUGGGGGCAACCCUGAUCUAGCCAUGCCGCGUGAGUGAUGAAGGCCUUAGGGUUGUAAAGCUCUUUCAGCUGGGAAGAUAAUGACGGUACCAGCAGAAGAAGCCCCGGCUAACUCCGUG